CAAAAAAAGAGCAUUAGACAGGAACUAAGGACAGGAGAUACUAAACACACAGAGGAGAAACUAAAACACAAACAAACUGUCAGUAUCAACUCUGACAGACAUAUCUGUAUGAAGACGUGUCUGACUGGGAGAAAAGUGCCUUCAUCAUGAGCGUGUAUGUUUCGUUAUACAGUAGGUGUGAAGGGCUAUCGUGCAGGUUCUUACCCCCGCCAACCGCAAUCACGCAAUGGAAAAGUGUGGCAUUGCUCAGGAAAUCGCGAGGCGUGUAGGAAGUGAUCGUGGUGAGAAACAAGGCCAGGCUCAGGCGGAGAGGGUCCAGCAGUAAUUGACCACGGAAGUUGGAAAGUUAAGUAAAAGGGAGAACCAGUGGGUUUGGUGUCCUUGAAUAUACAUCAUCCAUGAAGAAUGAACGGCUGCAGUUCGAGGACAGCUGUGUGACCCUGAAAAGAAUGUCAAGGCCGGCCUGCAUCAGACAUCUGAGGCAUGAAUCAUUGCGGUGAAGGAGAGGGAUCCGGUCCAGUUUCUCCAAGCAGGCCACAGAGAAAGCCUUCAGAGGGAGACGGUGUCAUAGACUGACCUCCACAGAGGGACAGGAAGGGUCUGUCUGGGGGUAAUAAUGCAACAUGUGCACUUCAGAGGAGCAACAGCAGGCCCAAACGUUUGGGUCGUUGACCAAUGUUUGGCGUGCGACUAUUUUGGCUGCUGCUUGUUUUGAUUUCUACACCAGCUGUUUCCCCGAAGUGCAGGAGUGGGUCUCUAUCUAUUUAUCAUUAUAAUGAGCUUAUAUUGGACACACAUCUCAGACUUCUGAAAAAGAUAUCU